GGUGGCUCAGUGAUAGAGCGCUUGCCUAGCAUGCAUGGGGCCCUGGGUUCAAUUCCUCAGCACCA
rnacentral:tRNA from 1 species